UGGGCUAGUUGAGCUCACCCUUUUCCUUUUUGUUCCAUUUUUCUUCUCAGGAGGCGAGAAUGUAGUGAGUACUAGUCGGGGUACGGAAUGAAGGUUCUAGGAAGUUGUUUUAGUAGUCCUCACCAUUUUUGUAAAGUAUUGUGUUAAUAAUUGUAAUGAGGACUUAGUUGGGUAUGUAUAUUGUCUAGAUGACAAUAUUUAUAUUUAAACUCACAGUUU
rnacentral:lncRNA from 1 species